GCCUGGGUGGCUCAGCCGGUCAAGCGUCUGACUUGGGCUCAGGUCAUGAUUUUGCAUUUUGUGGGUUCAAGCCCCAUGUUGGGCU
rnacentral:tRNA from 1 species